AAAAACAUCAAAAACACCAUAAAACUUCCACCUCAAAUUUCUCCUUACCUAGCUCAAGAGGGAGUGAGUCCUUUUAGGGCAAGGUUGCUGGGUUGGAGGGCUACAAAACCAUACCAAGCUUGCCCGGAUUGGUGGCCGGAGGAGGAAGUUCCGGCGAAGGGAAGCUCGGGGCAGCCCUUGCUUUCAGGCGGCACCGCUCUCUCACGGCGGCGCUAGGGCUCCUCUCACCGGUCUAGAAAUGUUGCUGGGAGGGAGACCGACCGAACGGGACCGGUCCGGCGGCGAACGGAGGUCGGACGGCGGCGGGAGGACGGCCGGAAUUCUGCUGGGUGUAGAGAGAAGAAAAUCGGGUGGGAGGAGAAGAAAAAUCGGGAGGGAGGGAGAAGAGAAAGAAGAAGAAAUGGGUUGGGCUCGGCCCAGCCGACCCAACACCCCUUUUAACCCAUAAUUCCAAAAUUCAACACCCCGAAAAAUAAUACCCGAAUAAAAAUUACCUUUUACUAGCUAAAAUUUACUAUUUUUACCGUCGUCGUAUUUUCCUCAUACGAAUAAUCCUCCGCACAUAAUCGUCCCCGAAACCCCUCUAGGGACCAAUUAAACUAUUUACUCAAUGAUCGAGACGGUAAAAUUCUUAUUAUAAUCACGCUAGUAAAUAAGGUAAAAAUAUAAGGGUCGGGAUGUGACAAAUUGCAUGAACUUUUUUCUUCAAGUUCUCUUAAUUAGUCAAUUCACAUGAGUUUGAUGGAUCUAGAACCUCGAUCAUGAGUUUGAAACUCGGAAAGAAAUGGGAUGACCGAAACAAACGUUCCGUAGACAAAAAU
rnacentral:lncRNA from 1 species